rnacentral:rRNA from 1 species
CCCAACAACCAUGUCCGCCAGAAAAUUACGAGCGAAAAGCUUAAAACUCAAAGGACUUGGCGGUGCUUCACAUCAACUUAGAGGAGCCUGUCCUACAAUCGAUACCCCACGUUAAACCUCACCAUCUUUUGCCCCCCGCCUAUAUACCGCCGUCGUAAAUUUACCCCACAAGAGCCCCACAGUAAGUACAAUUGCCCCCCCCCAAAAACGUCAGGUCAAGGUGUAGCCAAUAAGAUGGCAGAGAUGGGCUACAUUUUUUAAAAUAAAACACCACGACAUGGGCCUAUGAAACAAACCCUGAAGGCGGAUUUAAC